rnacentral:rRNA from 1 species
CAGCCGCCACGGUAAUACGUGGGUGGCAAGCGUUGUCCGGAAUUAUUGGGCGUAAAGGGCUCGCAGGCGGUUUCUUAAGUCUGAUGUGAAAGCCCCCGGCUCAACCGGGGAGGGUCAUUGGAAACUGGGAAACUUGAGUGCAGAAGAGGAGAGUGGAAUUCCACGUGUAGCGGUGAAAUGCGUAGAGAUGUGGAGGAACACCAGUGGCGAAGGCGACCCUCUGGUCUGUAACUGACGCUGAGGAGCGAAAGCGCGGGGAGCGAACAGGAUUAGAUACCCCAGUAGUCCCUGUCUCUUAUAC